GUUGAAAAUAACAAGUGCAAAUUGUACAAAUUUCCAUCUGCAAGUUGAAAAUAGAGCAAAGGAAAAUGGGUCGCUGGGGUCAGGAGAAUAAAAUGAUGAUGAUUCACCAUGGUCUCCAAAGUCUUACGAUUACAUAUGUAGUGAUCAUUUUGUUAGUGAUAAAAAGUCUCAGGAAUUAUUAAGUCCAAGCUGAUUUACAAUAUUUCUUACAGCGUACAAGUAAAAAAAAAAAGCGUAAAUAUUUUAUGGAACAAAGGCUUCGGCAAGAACCAACACCUAUUGUCAUAUCAAAAUUAAAAAUUCAUAAUUUAAACAAGAUAUGAUUGAAGUGAUUACUGAUAAUAUUAGUACAGAGUCUAAUUAUCAAGAAAGUUCAUAGAAUAACCAAGAAACUCUUAAGAUUGAUAAAAAAUUUUAAAUAGACAUAUUUAGCCAAAAUUUUUCUGAAGAA